AGGUGAGGCUAGCCGCAAACACAUGCCUGCGUGAUGCUCCGGGAAACCUGUGAGGCUCGCUGGUGGGAUGGCGCCCUCGGAGGGAGGCAGGCUGGAUCUGUGGGACGCCGUUGGAUCUCUCGUGAUGCAUAACGCUCUCCAGGUCCAUCCUGCUGUCGCAAAAAGAACCUGACGUCUUGGGAACGCUUUGGGGCGUGGAUGCCACCCAUACAUCGCCGAGACAAGACUCUUCAGACCGAGCGAGCGUUUGGCCUGCCUGCGGUUCCAGGACCACCCGCUGCAGGUGGAUUUGCUUCUCCGGGUGCUGCCGUCGCUUCAUCGCCAGCGUCGGCCACACGACACAGCGGUCGUUCCUCUACACAGAGCGUCCCCGCCGUCCCGUGUCGCUGCGGACCCCUCCUGCAGAUAAGACAUGCUUAGCUGAGCAAUGGUCAUGUUGGGCUGUCAUCGCUGAGACUUUACUUUGGGCGUGGUGACUGUUUCCUUGGCUGCCACUUCACUCAAUCCCAAGAGCCUCAGUAGAGGAAGUAGUAUUUGCACAAGACACUCAAAAUGAUGGAAUGCCUCAGUGCUCUCAUAGGUGAUGUUCCGAAAACAAUGGCCUUCAUUUGGCCUAGAGCUCUCCUGGGCUCUGUCUGUCAGGCUCCUUCCAGAGUCGGAACAGUGCAGCUGUCAAGCCCACCUUGCUCUGUCCUCAGCCCCAGGAAACAUCUCUGUGCGACCAUCUCUCCAGAUGGUGGUCGUGGCCUUCAGGUUUCAGGUGAGUGGCUGACUUUUGUGUUGCACAGAGAGCUCGUGUGCAUGAGAGUCAGCAGGAGGCUCUCUUUGGGCAAGAGAGACCCUGGUGCUCUAUUCUUGGUGACUCUAAGCCCUUGGGAAUGGGCCGACCCAGAGCCAAAGUUGUCCCUCCUCUCUGCAAGUGAUC